AUCAAGUUUCGUUUGGAUUUCGUUUUAAAAUUGUUGUUUUUUGUUUUUGUUUUUUGUUUAUGAAAGAGCAAAAGAGCGUAGAACAAAACUAAUACAUACAAUAAAAUACAAAUAUAAUAAUAAUUUACAUACAUUCAUAUAAUUUAUAUGUACGAGUAUAGUAAAAUUUACGUUUUCAUCUUAUCGCUUUUGUUUUUCAAUAUAAGUUAUAUAAUAAUAUGCAUCUAAAUUUGUGUCACCUCGUUAUCAUUUCCUUCACUGUGUGAGUUUGAGUUUAAGUGUGAGUGUGUGUAAGUGUGAUCGGUUCGUUUUGUGUCUGUGUUAGUUAGAUAUAUUUGUGGUAAAUACAUACAAAUAUGCGCCUAUCCAUUUAGAUAAAUUAGAGGCCUGCAGGAAUCCACUGCGAAUUAAAUCCAUUAGAUUUGUGAGAAAAUUACACAAUAAUUACGAAAAUUUAUGAAUUUCUGAAUUCGCGUUUGCUGCAUGAAUUCUUGAUCGAAAACACUUUAUUAUGAUGCAGGCCUCCAAUAUAUUUUACGUUUGUUGUAUGCAUGACAUUAAGUUGGAGCAUUUCGUUAGCUGAUGGGCGGUUUUUCGGGUUUUUGGGUUUUCGGGUUUGGAUUGUGUGACUUGGAGGGUGUACAAAUCAAUUGAAAUAGUUCUACUCAGGGUCUACGAAUACAAUAUCGAAAUGUGAGUAAGUAAGCAUAUUUAAAAGUAAGGUAAGUACAUGGGUAUGCGGUAUAUGGUUAACUAAUUGGAUAAGUACGAUCGCAGGGUAAUGCAUAAAUAGGUGCUGCCCCAUGGAUUUGCACGAAAAAGUAUAUUAAUAUUUUGUACGAUACGCUAUAGACAAUAAUAAUUAGCAUACACAAUCAAAUGGAUAAUAAUUAAUUAAGUUUGAAGUUGAGUUAUGACUUUUUAAUUGCAUUUUUAUAAUUAUUUUGAUUUGUGAUCUUCUCUUCUUGCUCACACACACACACAUAUGUAGUUGGCUUACAUAUAUAUGUAUAUAACGGUUAUCGAUUUUUCUUAUGCACAAAAUUGAUUUAAAUAUUCUUGCGAUUUUUGUUUUCAAUUUAUUUUUGUUUUGUUUUCUUUUUUUACUUACAGUUGCGGUCAAAAUAAUAGUAGUGCCGGUGAAGCAACACGUUAUUUCUCAUUAUUUCCUCUAUGCCUUCACAUAUUCAAAUAAUUUUUUCACACAAGUGACGUUAAUUCUUUGCUCUCUAAGAACGUAAAGUUAUUUUCGGUUCUCUCUUCGUUUUACAUUCUUUUUCGGCUUUAAUUGCAAGGAUGCACUUGUUUGACCCAGUCAAAAUAAUAGUAGUGCCAGCUAAAUUGACAAGAAUAAUUAAAUUUAAUCGCUUUUUAGCCAGACUCUUCUUUGAAAUUAGGUACAGAAUAUAUGGGGCGUGGCAAACACUGUAAUGCCGAGAGGCGGUAACUCAUUAAAAAACUGAUUUUUUCUGGAAAGACUUAUGUCAGGGUGCAAAAUAUUAUCGGAUGCUCUUCUACAAUGAUUAGAAAUGCAAUCAAAUAUGAACCAACAAAUGAAACUCGUGGUCGGUUCAAGUUAUUGACCAAAAGUUUGGAAACAAUAAGAUGUCUCGGAGAUGAAAACCUCAUUUCAAGAAGUCCACGAAAAGUGCCGUUACUAACAAAAAAACAUGCAGCAAGUUAUGCAACAUUCCGUUUGAAGUUUGCAAGAAAGCACUUGAAUUGGCCUUUGGAGAAGUGGAGUAAUAUUUUGUGGUCGGAUGAGUCCAAGAUAGUUUUGUUUGGAGGCAAUGGCUCUCGGGAGUUUGUUAGACGACCACCCUUGUCUGACUUUUUCCCGAAAUAUACAUUAAAAACGGUUAAGCACGGUGGUUCAGCGAUUAUGAUUUGGGCGAGUUUUUCGUAUUAUGGAGUUGGGCCAGUGUAUUGGGUAAAAUACAUCAUGGAUCGUUAUUUAUAUGUAAAAAUUUUAAACAAGAUGAUGCUCCUAUAUGCCUUCGAGGACAUGCCACUUGUUUGGACUUUUCAACAGGACAUUGAUCCAAUACAUACAAGUAAACUCGCCAAAGAGUGGUUCGCAGCCCAUCAAGUCGAAGUCAUACAGUGGCCCGCAGAGUCAACCGAUCUCAAUCCAAGUGAGAAUUUGUGGUGUGACGUUAAGAGAGCAAUCUCAGAAAUAAAACCGAGUAAUAGCUUUAAACUCUGGAAAGCUGUACAAAGGUCAUGGGACUCUGUUCCUGUGCAAAGAUGCCAGAAUUUAGUUGAUUCCAGGCAUAAGCGCUGUGCGUCUGUUAUAGCCAACAAAGGCUAUUCAACAAAAUACUAAAAUAAACAUUAAAUAUAGGGCUAUUACAUAGUUUUUAUCAUUUAAACUUAAAAUGUUUUAUUUGGCUGUGAUGCUGUUUGAAAAAAUGCACUACUAUUAUUUUGACCGAUCAAAUUUAGGUCCAUUUUAACAUUUUCAUUUCUUUCUGAAAAGUCUUAUGCAUUUUUCAAAGUCAAUUUUCAUUAUUAUCACCUACUAUGAGUUAACUUUCAUUGAAAAUUUAAAAAAAUUUUCUGAACACGUUUUGAAAGGUGUUUUUUUGGAUUGUUUGAAAACCUCUGUGGGCACUACUAUUAUUUUGACUGCAGCUGUAUUUACUUAGUUUGGUUUGGGCGCGUUCCGUCUGACAAAGCGGCUACGUAUAUUUUCUUGUCUUCUCCUUAUUGUUUUUUUUUCUUAUUUGUUUAAACUAACUGUUUGAAUGUUGCAAGCAAUUCAACACUCAACACUGAUUACCGUGUUUUCUGCCUCAGGCGACCAUUGAAUUUUAUUGAAAUUUCUGGCAUAUUAACGCUCUUUGGCUUUUCGCUUAUUUCUGUAGUUUUGCAUAAUCUGUCGCACGUUUUAUCGUUGCUUACACACUAAAUUGAAGUUUCAUAUUUGCUAACUUGCAUGCUGAAUCUCGUCUUAGAUUAGUUUUUUUUGUAUCGAUGAAAUCGCCUUAAGUGUCUAGAUUUUAGUGUAUAUCAAUAAAAAUGUUGGAAGUUGAUUUUCGGGUGUAGCUUCGGGAGGCGUUUCAAAAUCGCUUUACAUUCAUUCACUUUCGGGUAUUUGUUUGGAAUUUGUGUUUGUUUCGUUUGGAGUUGCCGUUCGUAUAGAAGAUUUUCUAGGCUCAAAUUCAUUUUCAUUUUGGUGUUGCUCUGUUACGGUUUUCGAUGCGAUUCUGUUUUCGGGGGCUAAAUAUUUCAUAUUUCAUAUUUUCGCUAUCCUGGCCAUACAAGUAGACGACAUGUACAUCUAUAUAUAUAUAUAAAUAAAUAUGUAUUUGUUGUGUUUAAUUUUUAAAUGCAUUUCAUGCUUAGUUGAUGAUUUUCAUUGUUGGGUUCAGUUAUAGUUUUUGCAUUCUGCUGUUUUUAUUUAUUUGUUUUUUUUUGUUUUUUGUUUUCUUGCUGAAAUGAAUUUCGAAGAACUGUCGCCAACUGAUCGGUGUGUGGGUUUGUGUGUAUUUUUUUGUUUUAUCUUCGGCUUUAUUUAGCUGAAUUUUAAACUUAUACGCUUCGGUUAAUAUGGAUGAUUUUAUUCAUUUUCGUUUUUUUUUUUCGGGUAAAUUGUAAGUGGCGGCGUAUGAGCCGUGUAUGAAUGUGACCGAGUCGCUGAGUUGCGAUUUGUACAACUGCGUCAUAGAGUCGCCUUCCGCAUACUAUAUACACAUAUGUAUAUAUAUAUAUAGUAGGUCAGCGUGGGCCAAAACAGCCAACUCGUGCCACAUCUCCAUAUUGCUUUUGUGAAUGACACACGCGCCUGCGCAGCAGCGUUGCGGCGGUUAUUUUGCGGAUAUUACUUGAUUACUUGAUUAUUCCAUAUGUCAUAUUGAGUAUUGAGUAGUUUAACUAGUCGCCGGGAAGUGGAAAACGAAUCAGCAAUCAGCAGACCUGUUCAUUUCUAAUCUCUGUUCUCAGUCCUAAUGGCGAAACUGCUUGCAUUGUCCAGCCCGGAUAUGGACCGCACUGCUUGCAAGCAGUUGUCCAUCGAGGACUUCCGGUCUGUUGCUGAUGUCGCGUUUCUAGGUAAUUUUAGGUAUUUUUUUAAUGUAUUUCACAUUUCAAUUUGCUCAUAUUCCAUUGAAUUUCGCGAUUCCGCAGUGGUUUCUCUUGAUUUUCUUAUCCUUGUGUACUUUGUAUAUAUCGUUAUACAUACUUAAUACCUUAAUAAAUUUUACUAUAAAUCUUUGUUUAAAAAAUUUUACAUCAUUUAUGUUAUAUACUUAAAAAUUUGGUGUUUUCAAUUUGCUUUCGCAACUUCCUCUUUGCUUGAGUUCUUUUCUUUUGGAUUUUCUUCGUUUUUCGUUUUUCUAGCUUAAGAUUUGUUAUUCUUUUUUCUUGUAUUUAUUUCUUUUUAGGGUUUUCCGCCUCAUGGCCCAUUGCCAUGUAGAUGUGGCCUGACCUUUCAGCCCUAAAUACACACAAAAAAAAAAUUGUUUGCUUGCCUAAAAAUGUCAUAAGUUGAACUACAGACACACACAUUGAUUGUUGGUAGACUCUACUAAAUGAUCUCGGAUUUGAAAACUAGAUUAUUGAAGUGAAAAAUCGAAUAAACAAUCUUUAAUUGAAUUAAUAUAGAUGCGCGUACAUAUAGUUCGUGUUUGAUUAUAUAUAUGUAUUUAUAUAGGCGUACAACUUAGUUAAAAACUUAGUUAUACGUUAGAGAGCUUUGAAACUUAAUCUGUAUUUUAAAUAUAUAUUUGUAUAAAUGCGAGUGCUGUUGUUGUGUAUUUGUGGUGUGGAUCGAUUUACACGGCUGAAGUUGCGGUUUUAGCUGGCCACAUUACGAUUUAUUUUCAAUCCAAUUCCGAUCCAAUUAUUUACUGAUCACUUCAACUGCGAAAGCGUGUUGCCUGCUGUAUUGCCAAUUUUCAGGUGGGUACAGAUUAGAGCUGGCAAGCCAUCGCUAGUAAAUUUACUACAUGGCGUCAUCGAAACGAUCAAUACUAUUCUUAUUAUGGUAAGAAGAUGGCAUAGAAUAAAUAAACUUUUAUUGUGGCCUCCAAGAAAUCCAAUCGAUUCUAUCUUAAGAUCGAUCGAAGUCUUGCCAGCUCUAGUUUAGGUGUGCGUGUGUGUGUGUGUGUAGAUAUUUGGGGGGAAAAAAGAAAACAAAUUUUGUGUUUUAGUUUUU